rnacentral:rRNA from 1 species
CACGCAUGACACACUGCAUAUCAAUAAGCGGAGGAAAAGAAACUAACAAGGAUUCCCUUAGUAACGGCGAGUGAAGCGGGAAGAGCUCAAAUUUGAAAUCUUCAAGGUUUUACCUUGACGAAUUGUAGUUUAAAGAAGUGUUUUCUGUUGAAGUUUUGGUAAAAGUUCUUUGGAAUAGGACAUCAUAGAGGGUGAGAAUCCCGUAUUUGACCAUUAUUUUCAGCUGUGUGAUACACUUUCAAAGAGUCGGAUUGUUUGGGAAUGCAGUCCAAAAUGGGUGGUAAAUUUCAUCUAAAGCUAAAUAUUGGCGAGAGACCGAUAGCGAACAAGUACCGUGAGGGAAAGAUGAAAAGAACUUUGAAAAGAGAGUUAAACAGUACGUGAAAUUGUCAAAAGGGAAGCGUUUGACACCAGUGUUGUUUUCUCGAAAAUCAAUUAAAAAAGGCCGGAUUUUGUGUUGUAUUGACCUUAACAGCUUUCUUCACUCUUUUCCUGUCUUUUUUUAAUGCACUUUUCGUUUAACAAGUCAACAUCAGUUUCUUUUGUUGUAAAAAGGGUCAUUGGAAGGUGGCUUUCUUUUCGGAGAAAGUGUUUAUAGCCUUUGAUCUCCUGCAAUCGGAGAGACUGAGGUCUGCAGCGUAGACUCCUUCGGGGUUAGAUACAUUUGUGCUAAGCUUAUAGCUUUUUAUAGACAACUUGUUGACUAUAUUUAGUCUUGUGGCUUACUCGCUUAUGCUAUUUUACCUACGCUUAGGAUGUUGAGCGCAUGUCUCUCUCU